GUCGAGCGGAGAUUUGAAAAGCUUGCUUUUCAAAUCUUAGCGGCGGACGGGUGAGUAACACGUGGGCAACCUGCCCUUGAGACGGGGAUAACUCCGGGAAACCGGAGCUAAUACCGGAUAACACAUAUCUUCGCAUGAUGAUAUGUUAGAAGGUGGCUUUUAGCUACCACUCAAGGAUGGGCCCGCGGCGCAUUANCUAGUUGGUGAGGUAACGGCUCACCAAGGCGACGAUGCGUAGCCGACCUGAGAGGGUGAUCGGCCACACUGGGACUGAAACACNGCCCAGACUCCUACGGGAGGCAGCANUAGGGAAUCUUCCNCAAUGGACGAAAGUCUGACAGAGCNCCGCCGAGNGAGNGAUGAAGGUAUUCGNAUCUGCGCUCUCUG
rnacentral:rRNA from 1 species